AGUGAACGCUGGCGGUAGGCCUAACACAUGCAAGUCGAACGGCAGCACAGUAAGAGCUUGCUCUUACGGGUGGCGAGUGGCGGACGGGUGAGGAAUACAUCGGAAUCUACUUUUUCGUGGGGGAUAACGUAGGGAAACUUACGCUAAUACCGCAUACGACCUACGGGUGAAAGCAGGGGAUCUUCGGACCUUGCGCGAUUGAAUGAGCCGAUGUCGGAUUAGCUAGUUGGCGGGGUAAAGGCCCACCAAGGCGACGAUCCGUAGCUGGUCUGAGAGGAUGAUACGGCAAAAUGGGAAUGGAGAAAGGGUCCAAACCCUACGGGGGGGAGGAGGGGGGAAAAUUGGGAAAAGGGGGCAAACCUGAACCCGCCAAACCGCGGGGGGGAAAGAAGGCCUUGGGUUUGUAAAGCCUUUUUGUGGGAAAAAAAAAGAAGCAGUUUAAACCCCCGCUUUUUGACGGGACCCAAAAAAAAAACCCCCGGCAAAUUUGGG
rnacentral:rRNA from 1 species